CCACCCUUAGCUCAAUGGUAGAGCAUUCGCCUUAUACGCGAAACGUUCCUGGUUCGAGUCCAGGAGGGUGGA
rnacentral:tRNA from 1 species